rnacentral:rRNA from 1 species
AGGAUCAUUACCGAGUUUACAACUCCCAAACCCAAUGUGAACGUUACCAAACUGUUGCCUCGGCGGGAUCUCUGCCCCGGGUGCGUCGCAGCCCCGGACCAAGGCGCCCGCCGGAGGACCAACCAAAACUCUUAUUGUAUACCCCCUCGCGGGUUUUUUUAUAAUCUGAGCCUUCUCGGCGCCUCUCGUAGGCGUUUCGAAAAUGAAUCAAAACUUUCAACAACGGAUCUCUUGGUUCUGGCAUCGAUGAAGAACGCAGCGAAAUGCGAUAAGUAAUGUGAAUUGCAGAAUUCAGUGAAUCAUCGAAUCUUUGAACGCACAUUGCGCCCGCCAGUAUUCUGGCGGGCAUGCCUGUCCGAGCGUCAUUUCAACCCUCGAACCCCUCCGGGGGGUCGGCGUUGGGGAUCGGCCCUCCCUUAGCGGGGUGGCCGUCUCCGAAAUACAGUGGCGGUCUCGCCGCAGCCUCUCCUGCGCAGUAGUUUGCACACUCGCAUCGGGAGCGCGGCGCGUCCACAGCCGUUAAACACCCAACUUCUGAAAUGUUGACCUCGGAUCAGGUAGGAAUACCCGCUGAACUUAA